GAGAGUUGGAUGGCAAGUGGGUUUCAUCACGAGUCGGCCUUUGAGCACGACUGAUGAGUGAUUAUGCUCGACGUCGAAGGCCUUGUAAGUCACCAAACGAGUGGGGAAUUUGUUUUGGGUAAUCCAAAUCAAAUGAUGAACUGCGACAACGUCAUUUAUGACGGGGGUUUGACGAAGUCGGCCCAUGACCCAUGAUUUGUCCGUGAAAUGAUUUUAGAUCUCUUGUAUUGUUGCUCAAUGAUCUUCGUCAAAUGAUGUGGUGAUGUCUAGUUGCUUGCAGAUCAUAGUUUCAAGCUUUGAUCUUAGUUUUAAGCUUAAUCGGCCUUUUCAUUAGGCGCGCAUGAAAGGUUUGAUUGUAUGGCAUGUUCUUGUUUGAUUGUUGCCUUAUCAUUGGAUCGUUAGUGUAACCGAUGACAUGAUGUGGCUUGUUAAUCUUAAAACUUAGGAUGGCGACUAAGCAUCGUUGCGUUAGUUGAUGAGUUUUAUUGAACGGGAAGGCAAGAGUUUGAAUUUUGUUGUGUUGUUGAUGACAUUCGUCUCACAAUGUGGUGGUGUCAAGUUGCUUGUUGUUCCAUGUUUCAAGCUUCUUAAGCUUGAUAUAUACAUGUUACCACGCUUGGUGACUAGACAUUGCCUUGUUGGUUGAUGGAGGUCGCGUGACGAAGGCUACAAUAUUUUG
rnacentral:misc_RNA from 1 species